CCUACGGGAGGCAGCAGUGAGGAAUAUUGGUCAAUGGGCGGGAGCCUGAACCAGCCAAGCCGCGUGAGGGAAGAAGGUACAGCGUAUCGUAAACCUCUUUUGUCAGGGAACAAAGGCGGGGACUAGUCCCCGGAUGAGGGUACCUGAAGAAAAAGCAUCGGCUAACUCCGUGCCAGCAGCCACGGUAAUACGGAGGAUGCGAGCGUUAUCCGGAUUUAAGGGGAUUAAAGGGUGCGCAGGCGGCUUGUUAAGUCAGCGGUAAAAGCCCGGGGCUCAACCCCGGCGAGCCGUGGAAACUGGCGGGCUGGAGUUGGAGAGAAGUACGCGGAAUGCGCGGUGUAGCGGUGAAAUGCUUAGAUAUCGCGCAGAACCCCGAUUGCGAAGGCAGCGUACCGGCUCCACACUGACGCUGAGGAACGAAAGCGUGGGUAUCGAACAGGAUUAGAUACCCUAGUAGUC
rnacentral:rRNA from 1 species